GCAUAGGAGCUUGCUCCUGAUGGCGAGUGGCGAACGGGUGAGUAAUAUAUCGGAACGUGCCCUAGAGUGGGGGAUAACUAGUCGAAAGACUAGCUAAUACCGCAUACGAUCUACGGAUGAAAGUGGGGGAUCGCAAGACCUCAUGCUCCUGGAGCGGCCGAUAUCUGAUUAGCUAGUUGGUGGGGUAAAAGCUCACCAAGGCGACGAUCAGUAGCUGGUCUGAGAGGACGACCAGCCACACUGGGACUGAGACACGGCCCAGACUCCUACGGGAGGCAGCAGUGGGGAAUUUUGGACAAUGGGGGCAACCCUGAUCCAGCAAUGCCGCGUGAGUGAAGAAGGCCUUCGGGUUGUAAAGCUCUUUUGUCAGGGAAGAAACGGUUCUGGAUAAUACCUGGAGCUAAUGACGGUACCUGAAGAAUAAGCACCGGCUAACUACGUGCCAGCAGCCGCGGUAAUACGUAGGGUGCAAGCGUUAAUCGGAAUUACUGGGCGUAAAGCGUGCGCAGGCGGUUGUGUAAGUCAGAUGUGAAAUCCCCGGGCUCAACCUGGGAA
rnacentral:rRNA from 1 species